AGAGGAGGAUGCCUAAGGCAGUGCUGGUGACUGGGGUGAAGUCGUAACAAGGUAGCCGUACCGGAAGGUGUGGCUGGAUCACCUCCUUUUUAGGGAGACCUACACCCCUCAAAACUCGAAAGCAAAAUGCCAAUAGAGAUUGAGUUGGUCUAACCUAGGUCGGUCGAGAUUGGUAAGAGCUUUCAAAGUAUUUCUGGUUCAGUUUAUAAAUAGUUACAACAGAACCGAGCGGGAAAAUUCAGCAACAUGGCUUAAUGCCAGACUGCUGGGAUAAUCUCAGCCAGAACCUUGAAAACUGCAUAAGUAACGCGAAAAAAGCAGGCAGACGAAUCAAAGUACUGAAUACGGAGUGGAGAGUACUGAGUAAAAUCAGUGCAAAGAAACAAAGUAAACAGAACAAAGAAAAGUUUGCAGGUGAAACACCAAAUGUAAAGUGGUCAAGCUAAUAAGGGCUAACGGUGGAUACCUAG
rnacentral:misc_RNA from 1 species